AGAGUCAGGGGAGAUAACCAUUAUCAACGUAGGUGGUGGCCCCAGGGCGAGGCUUAUCCAUUGCACGCUGGAUGUGCCGAUCCCUGCAAUUUCCCCAAAAGUGGGAAACUCGACUGCAGAAUUUGUGGUAGUUGGGGACAGUGUUCGUGCUCUCCGCUG